rnacentral:tRNA from 1 species
UGAUAAAAUAAACUAAUAAAGUUUUUAGGUUCAUACCCUAAGUAUAGAAUAUGAGAUUCUUUUUAUU